rnacentral:pre_miRNA from 1 species
CUUGUACUCUCUUCGUCCGAAAAUACUUGUCAUUGAAAUGGAUAUCUAGAUGUAUUUUAGUUCUAGACACAUCCAUUUUGAUGACAAGUAAUUCCGGAUGAAGGGAGUUCUUG